rnacentral:rRNA from 1 species
CAGUAGCCGCGGUAAUACGAAGGGUGCGAGCGUUACUCGGAAUUACUGGGCGUAAAGCGUGCGUAGGUGGUGGUUUAAGUCCGUUGUGAAAGCCCUGGGCUCAACCUGGGAAUUGCAGUGGAUACUGGGUCACUAGAGUGUGGUAGAGGAUAGUGGAAUUUCCGGUGUAGCAGUGAAAUGCGUAGAGAUCGGAAGGAACAUCAGUGGCGAAGGCGGCCACCUGGGACAACACUGACGCUGAGGCACGAAAGCGUGGGGAGCAAACAGGAUUAGAUACCCCCGUAGUCCCUGUCUCUUAUAC